rnacentral:misc_RNA from 1 species
AACUUCUCAAAGCCCAGUUGGUCUUGCAUCGACUCGGGACUUUGGACUGUGAGGGUUGCCGGUCUUUAAUCGGAUCGGACUCCCUUUAAAUGCAUUAGUGGUUACCGAUCCGCUUCCACUUGGUGUGAUAGUAUAUCUACGCCUUUGGGAAUGAUCAGUUGUUAUUCCGCUUCUAACCCGUCUGACCUUGGUCGGACAGCUCUUUGACC